rnacentral:rRNA from 1 species
UACGUAGGGGGCUAGCGUUGUCCGGAAUCAUUGGGCGUAAAGCGCGUGUAGGCGGUCCGGUAAGUCCGCUGUGAAAGUCGGGGGCUCAACCUCGGAUGCCGGUGGAUACUGUCGGGCUUGAGUACGGAAGAGGCGAGUGGAAUUCCUGGUGUAGCGGUGAAAUGCGCAGAUAUCAGGAGGAACACCAAUUGCGAAGGCAGCUCGCUGGGACGUUACUGACGCUGAGACGCGAAG